UCGAGAAUCUUGGACAAUGCACGAAAGUGUGAUCCAGCGACGCCGCGUGAGCGAAGAAGCCCUUCGGGGUGUAAAGCUCUUUUCUAUAUGAGGAAUUUCUGACUUUAGUAUAGGAAUAAGGGGCUGCUAAACUCGUGCCAGCAGCAGCGGUAAGACGAGUGCCCCAAGCGUUAUCCGGAUUAACUGGGCGUAAAGGGUCCGUAGGGGGUUUUGUUAGUCCCGCGUUAAAUUUAUGGGCUCAACCCGUAAGCCGCGCGGGAAACGGCAAAACUAGAGAGUGUGAGAGGUUCGCGGAACCUAUGGUGUAGGGGUGAAAUCCGUUGAUAUCAUAGGGAACACCGAAGGCGAAGGCAGCGAACUGGCGCAUUUCUGACCCUGAGGGACGAAAGCGUGGGGAGCA
rnacentral:rRNA from 1 species